AACCUGCGAAGGCAAGCGGAUCUCUUAAAGCCGUUCUCAGUUCGGACUGUAGGCUGCAACUCGCCUACACGAAGCUGGAAUCGCUAGUAAUCGCGGAUCAGCACGCCGCGGUGAAUACGUUCCCGGGCCUUGUACACACCGCCCGUCACACCAUGAGAGUCUGUAACACCCAAAGCCGGUGGGAUAACCUUUAUAGGAGUCAGCCGUCUAAGGUAGGACAGAUGAUUAGGGUGAAGUCGUAACAAGGUAAC
rnacentral:rRNA from 1 species